rnacentral:lncRNA from 10 species
AUGCUGGUUUCUGCAGCAGCCUCUCUGCAACCUGAGGGCAGCAAUGCCGACAGGCAGCAAGCUGCAGGCACACUUGACAGAUGUGAAGAUCUGGGUUCUGGGGAUGCUGUUGAGCUGCUCGAUGAGCCCACUUUGGACCUGCCCUACCGCCAGACUUUUUGUGAUCCAAGUGCAAGGAAAUUACAGGGCUAUCAACUCUAUCUCUUUCCAAGACCAGAAAGUCGGCAGAUGGAGAACGGUUUCUAGAUGGGGAGGGAAUCUGCCUUUGGAACUUUUAGCGACCUGGUAUGGUUCAACAUUCCAUCACUAUGCAAAAAUAAAUAAAUAAAUUGCAGACCAACGUACAAAG